UACGUAGGUGGCGAGCGUUGUCCGGAUUUAUUGGGUUUAAAGGGUGCGUAGGCGGACUGUCAAGUCAGCGGUAAAAUUGAGAGGCUCAACCUCUUCCCGCCGUUGAAACUGGUGGUCUUGAGUGGAUGAGAAGUACGCGGAAUGCGUGGUGUAGCGGUGAAAUGCAUAGAUAUCACGCAGAACUCCGAUUGCGAAGGCAGCGUACCGGCAUCCAACUGACGCUGAGGCACGAAAGCGCGGGGAUCGAACAGG
rnacentral:rRNA from 1 species